UGGGGGUGGUUUGUAGCAGUUUAUCGAUGGGGAAACCAAGGACUAAGGGUGAAAGAUGGUAGUGUCGAGCAAUGGAGAGAAAACCAUAGUGAACUGACAAAAUAGAAAAUUAGGAAAUUGAAAAAUGAAGAAAGAAAAA